rnacentral:rRNA from 1 species
AAUAUUGCACAAUGGGCGAAAGCCUGAUGCAGCGACGCCGCGUGAGGGAUGAAGGCCUUCGGGUCGUAAACCUCUUUCAGCAGGGAAGAAGCGCAAGUGACGGUACCUGCAGAAGAAGCACCGGCUAACUACGUGCCAGCAGCCGCGGUAAUACGUAGGGUGCGAGCGUUGUCCGGAAUUAUUGGGCGUAAAGAGCUCGUAGGCGGCUUGUCGCGUCGGAUGUGAAAGCCCGGGGCUUAACCCCGGGUCUGCAUUCGAUACGGGCAGGCUAGAGUGUGGUAGGGGAGAUCGGAAUUCCUGGUGUAGCGGUGAAAUGCGCAGAUAUCAGGAGGAACACCGGUGGCGAAGGCGGAUCUCUGGGCCAUUACUGACGCUGAGGAGCGAAAGCGUGGGGAGCGAACAGGAUUAGAUACCCUGGUAGUCCACGCCGUAAACGGUGGGAACUAGGUGUUGGCGACAUUCCACGUCGUCGGUGCCGCAGCUAACGCAUUAAGUUCCCCGCCUGGUGAGUACGGCCGCAAGGCUAAAACUCAAAGGAAUUGACGGGGGCCCGCACAAGCAGCGGAGCAUGUGGCUUAGUUCGACGCACCGCGAAGAACCUUACCAAGGCUUGACAUAUACCGGAAACGGCUAGAGAUAGCCGCGCCCUUGUGGUCCGGUAUACAGGUGGUGCAAUGGUUGUCGUCAGCUCGAG